GACGAACGCUGGCGGCGUGCUUAACACAUGCAAGUCGAACGGGUCUGCCCUGUUUUUUGCGGGGUGGGUCAGUGGCGAACGGGUGAGUAACACGUGAGUAACCUGCCCCUCACUUCUGGAUAACCGCUUGAAAGGGUGGCUAAUACGGGGUGUUCUGGCUGUGCCGCAUGGUGUGGCUGGGAAAGAUUCACUUUUGUGGUGUUUUGGUGGGGGAUGGGCUCGCGGCCUAUCAGCUUGUUGGUGGGGUGAUGGCCUGCCAAGGCUUUGACGGGUAGCCGGCCUGAGAGGGUGGGCGGUCACACUGGGACUGAGAUACGGACCAGACUCCUGCGGGAGGCAGAAGUGGGGGGUAUUGCACAAUGGGCGGAAGCCUGAUGCAGCGACGUCGCGUGAGGGAUGGAGGCCUUCGGGUUGUGAACCUCUUUCGCCGGUGAAGAAGGUCCUGCUCUUUGUGGUGGGGUUGACGGUAGCCGGGUUAUGAAGCGCCGGCUAACUACGUG
rnacentral:rRNA from 1 species